rnacentral:rRNA from 1 species
GACGUACCCACCCCAAACGUUAUUCGGAAUCACUGGGCUUAAAGAGUCCGUAGGCGGCUUGGAAAGUUGGGUGUGAAAUACCUCAGCUCAACUGAGGAAUUGCGCUCAAAACUACCCAGCUCGAGAAAGACAGAGGUGAGCGGAACUGAUGGUGGAGCGGUGAAAUGCAUUGAUAUCAUCAGGAACACCGGUGGCGAAAGCGGCUCACUGGGUCUUUUCUGACGCUGAGGGACGAAAGCUAGGGGAGCGAACGGGAUUAGAUACCCUAGUAGU